CAGCCGCCGCGGGAAUACAGAGGGUGCGAGCGUUAAUCGGAUUUACUGGGCGUAAAGCGUGCGUAGGCGGCUUCUUAAGUCGGAUGUGAAAUCCCUGAGCUUAACUUAGGAAUUGCAUUCGAUACUGGGAAGCUAGAGUAUGGGAGAGGAUGGUAGAAUUCCAGGUGUAGCGAUGAAAUGCGUAGAGAUCUGGAGGAAUACCGAUGGCGAAGGCAGCCAUCUGGCCUAAUACUGACGCUGAGGUACGAAAGCGUGGGGAGCAAACAGGAUUAGAGACCCCAGUAGUCCCUGUCUCUUAUAC
rnacentral:rRNA from 1 species